AGACAAUUCCCCUCCCUCUUCCCUUUCCUCGUGUUUGUUCGACUCGUAAGGGUCGAAAACUCCCAGAUCUGAGGAGAUCUGAAAACUCGAGACUUAAUCCUCCUUCUUCGAGGGUGUACGACGUGUAUGGGGUGAUGACGUUCCUUCGAAGGUGGCUGACUUAUGAUGCUCGUUGUGGUGAUCCGAAGGUUAGGCUGGGUCGUGGGUCAUGUGAGAAUGAAAACUUCAGCAUUCAUAGAAGUUUUCGGGUCUUGUUGGAGACCACGAAAAAAUUCAUUACAUUAUCUGUCCCUAAAAAGAAAUUUCGUUCUCAAAAGUCUCAAACGCCUUGAUUAAUUCAAGGUAUUUUCCUUUAUUCCCUCCUCUCGUUCCCAUAUAGCUUCUUUGAUGAUUCAGCCAUAAUACUUUGACGAAACCUAUGCCCCUAUUAUGUAAGACUUUCAUUUCCCGAGCUAGUAACUUAUUCGGUUUCUCUUGGUAA